rnacentral:rRNA from 1 species
UGGGGAAUAUUGCACAAUGGGCGAAAGCCUGAUGCAGCGACGCCGCGUGAGGGAUGACGGCCUUCGGGUUGUAAACCUCUUUCAGCAGGGACGAAGCGCAAGUGACGGUACCUGCAGAAGAAGCACCGGCUAACUACGUGCCAGCAGCCGCGGUAAUACGUAGGGUGCAAGCGUUGUCCGGAAUUACUGGGCGUAACGAGUUCGUAGUCGGUUUGUCGCGUCGUUUGUGACAACCAGCAGCUCAACUGCUGGCUUGCAGGCGAUACGGGCAGACUUGAGUACUGCAGGGGAGACUGGAAUUCCUGGUGUAGCGGUGAAAUGCGCAGAUAUCAGGAGGAACACCGGUGGCGAAGGCGGGUCUCUGGGCAGUAACUGACGCUGAGGAACGAAAGCGUGGGUAGCGAACAGG